AUUUACCUUUGGUCCAUCUGGUCCAGGUGCUCCUGGGAUACCCUUGGCUCCCUGCAGUCCAGUAGACCCAAGCUCACCUCUCUCUCCUGGAGUACCACGUUCUCCCUGUGAUGAACACAUACAUCAUUCACCAAUAUGUUUGGUAACGUGCAUGUACCUGGUGUAGAGUUGCCACCAGGAUGCCUUGUUGGUCAUUUCACAACACAACAUACAGGAGGACCAUACAUGGACCUGCUGAUAACAUCCUGGUACUACAUACUAAAUGAUGUGCUUAGAUGGUGUGUGGUGUUCAUGCCUCAGCAGGUCAGAGCUGUUUGUGGAUGUUCCAAAUGUCUAGGAUAAUCAGUUCAACAUUUUGAACACCCUCAAGGUCCUGCUUCUCCUUUAAAUCCUGUGACACCAACAUCUCCCUAAAACAAGGUACUCCGCCUGGUCCGGGCCGUCCUCUCUCUCCUGGCAUUCCUCUUGGACCCUGCAUUCAAUAGUCACUUACCAUCGGGCCGGGUGCACCCAAUGGACCAGCACCACCAGAUUCACCCUAGGAGUCAAACAUAUGAAAUCAGUUUGCAAAUAUGCACAUGAAUAUAGAUUUUUAUUAUUAACAAACUGGCAGAAACAUGAAAGAGCUUGACAUUUUAUAAGGAAAAUCAGCCUGUGAUGCUUUUUGGCCUUUUUGUCAUCACAGCAAAUCGCCAUGGAUGGGCAAACUACCUCUGGGACCACCACAUGCUGUCUUGUUAUAUAAAUGAAUAAAAAUGAGUUGGAUUUUU